rnacentral:rRNA from 1 species
UACGUAGGGGGCAAGCGUUGUUCGGAAUUACUGGGCGUAAAGGGCGCGUAGGCGGCACGGCAAGUCAGGAGUGAAAGCCCUGGGCUCAACCCGGGAACUGCUUUUGAAACUGCCGAGCUAGAGUGCGGAAGGGGCAACUGGAAUUCCCAGUGUAGCGGUGAAAUGCGUAGAUAUCAGGAGGAACACCGAUGGCGAAGGCAGGUCUCUGGGCUGAAACUGACGCUCAUGCACGAAAGCGUGGGGAGCAAACAGG